CGAAAAUAAGAGAAAAAUAGCCCAUCACCCUUAUUAACCUAGCCUUCCUCUUCUAUUUCUCACUCCUUCCGCACACCAAUCCCUCAUCUUCUCUGAAUCUCUCACUGUAACUCUCUCUCGUUCACGGGUUGUGGAGUGUGGAGGACGACGGGGACGACUUGUCCUUUCUCUAGAGGUCUUCGUCGCGCGGAUCGAAACGAUGAUAAGGGGUCUUCUCCUCGACGAGCGGUGGACAACGGCUUCAGUUCUAGGCGCACGGUCUGGCCCAAUCGACAUUCGUUGGUGGUUAUUCAAGAGGUUCACAUGGUUCGGGUAUUCAAGAGGUUCACGGCAGCUUCGUGGCAUUGAUGAGGUAUCCAGAGAAAAAUGAUAGACUACCAACAUCCUAAACUGGCUUGUUCGACUCUAUGAGAGUGGUAUAGGUGGAAUCUUGUUAGAUGAAAUGGUUAGUGCCAUAUUUGAUAGUUUGAUUUGUGCUAUGCCUAUUUCAUCAAACACUGAACAUUGGGGCGUUGAAUCUUUCUAUGAAAAAUCUAGUUAGUGUUGAUUUUGAACAAGUAUACAUAUCCAUAUCCAUACAUAUUGUUCAAUGACUUUUUAAGUUGCAUGCACAGUGUUUGAUUAAAUGUCGUUUGUGAGGGACUUUUUUGUUUACUACUUUAUGGAUUAGUUAUUUAAUUUUUGAAUUUGAUUUGUGUAGAA